CCUACGGGUGACAGCAGUGAGGAAUAUUGGUCAAUGGACGAGAGCCUGAACCAGCCAAGUAGCGUGAAGGAUGACUGCCCUAUGGGUUGUAAACUUCUUUUAUAAAGGAAUAAAAUGCGCCACGUGUGACUUUUUGCAUGUACCCUAUGAAUAAGGAUCGGCUAACUCCGUGCCAGCAGCCGCGGUAAUACGGAGGAUCCGAGCGUUAUCCGGAUUUAUUGGGUUUAAAGGGAGCGGAGGCGGGUUGUUAAGGCAGCUGUGAAAGUUUGCGGCUCAACCGUCAAAUUGCAGUUGAUACUGGCAGUCUUGAGUGCGCUUGAGGUAUGCGGAAUUCGUGGUGUAGCGGUGAAAUGCUUAGAUAUCACGAAGAACCCCGAUUGCGAAGGCAGCUUACUGAACUGUGACUGACGUUGAUGCUCGAAAGUGUGGGUAUCGAACAGGAUUAGAUACCCUAGUAGUC
rnacentral:rRNA from 1 species